rnacentral:rRNA from 1 species
GACAGAGGGUGCAAACGUUGUUCGGAAUUACUGGGCGUAAAGCGCGUGUAGGCGGCUAUGUAAGUCGGGCGUGAAAUCCCACGGCUCAACCGUGGAAGUGCACCCGAAACUGCGUAGCUAGAGUCCUGGAGAGGAAGGUGGAAUGCUUGGUGUAGAGGUGAAAUUCGUAGAUAUUCGCAAGAACACCAGUGGCGAAGGCGGCUCACUGGCCCGAUACUGACGCUGAGGCACGAAAGCGUGGGGAGCAAACAGG